rnacentral:lncRNA from 1 species
UUUUUUUUUUCAGAGUGGAAAAUAGAAGUUUAUUAAAGGACAGCAGAAAAGACUUCUCCCGGAGGAAGAAGGGGACCCAAGAGAUGGAAUCCAUCAAUCCCAUACUUUAAGGAAUUCAUUCACUGAGCAGAGAGGGAGAGUCGAGGCUCCACCAAUCAGCCUGAACUGAAGUUUGCUGAACAUUAAAACCCAAUAAAAAUUGCUAUGAUGUGACUUCCAGAGUGGAGUCUGAUAAUCUCUUCUCCACACUGAA